rnacentral:rRNA from 1 species
GAUGGACGCUAGCUACAGGCUUAACACAUGCAAGUCGAGGGGCAGCAUGGUCUUAGCUUGCUAAGGCCGAUGGCGACCGGCGCACGGGUGAGUAACACGUAUCCAACCUGCCGUCUACUCUUGGACAGCCUUCUGAAAGGAAGAUUAAUACAAGAUGGCAUCAUGAGUCCGCAUGUUCACAUGAUUAAAGGUAUUCCGGUAGACGAUGGGGAUGCGUUCCAUUAGAUAGUAGGCGGGGUAACGGCCCACCUAGUCUUCGAUGGAUAGGGGUUCUGAGAGGAAGGUCCCCCACAUUGGAACUGAGACACGGUCCAAACUCCUACGGGAGGCAGCAGUGAGGAAUAUUGGUCAAUGGGCGCAGGCCUGAACCAGCCAAGUAGCGUGAAGGAUGACUGCCCUAUGGGUUGUAAACUUCUUUUAUAAAGGAAUAAAGUCGGGUAUGUAUACCCGUUUGCAUGUACUUUAUGAAUAAGGAUCGGCUAACUCCGUG